rnacentral:rRNA from 1 species
UUCAUACGGUGACCCGCGAAUGGCUCAUUAAAUCAGCUAUGGUUUAUUGGAUCGUACCCGUUAAAUGGAUAACUGUAACAACUCUAGAGCUAAUACAUGCCUCGAUGCCCAGACCCCGCUGUUGCAGCAGCCUCGCCUGCUGUGCGUGGGGAAUGGGUGCACUUAUUAGAUCAGAAGCCAACCAGUUGUGUCUCGCUGGCGACAGCGGGGUGCGCUGUAGAACUUCUGGUGACUCUGGAUAAUUGUUACAGAUCGCAGUCGGCUCUGAGUCGGCGACGGGUCCUUCAAAUGUCUGCCCUAUCAACUUUCGAUGGUAGGUGACCUGCCUACCAUGGUGAUAACGGGUAACGGGGAAUCAGGGUUCGAUUCCGGAGAGGGAGCCUGAGAAACGGCUACCACUUCCAAGGGAGGCAGCAGGCGCGCAAAUUACCCACUCCCAGCACGGGGAGGUGGUGACGAAAAAUACCGAUGCGGGACUCCUUAAUGAGGCUCCGUAAUCGGAAUGAGUGGAUUCUAAAUCCUUUCACGAGGAUCAAUUGGAGGGCAAGUCUGGUGCCAGCAGCCGCGGUAACUCCAGCUCCAAUAGCGUAUAUUAAAGUUGCUGCAGUUAAAAAGCUCGUAGUUGGAUCUCGGUAGCAUUGUUGUCUGCGGAUAAUUGAGCGGCAGUGUGUGGCUGUUGACAGGCGCGCGCCUCGUCCAUUCUUGCCCACCCGUGGGCUCUAAUGCUCUCGUGGGAGGGCGGCUGGCGCGGUGAGCGUACUGUCGCGGUCAUCGAUUAACGCUGUCGUAUCAAGCCCGUAAGGCUACGGUGUCACCUUUAAGCCAUGUCUGUGGUCUAUCAGUGGCCUCAGGUGUAGGCGGGUGUCGGACGGCGCUCUGCACCAGUGUGGGGCCUAGUCGGCUCGUCUGCAUGCCUUUGGAUGCCCUUAAAAAGGUGUCUGUGGGCGGAUGGCACGUUUACUUUGAACAAAUUUGAGUGCUCAAAUCAGGCCGAUGUUGCCUGAAAAGUUUUGCAUGGAAUAAUGGAAUAGGACUUCGGUUCUAUUUCGUUGGUUUUCGGAUCCGAAGUAAUGAUCAAAAGAGACAGGCGGGGACGUUUGUAUGGCUGCGCUAGAGGUGAAAUUCAUUGACCGUAGCCAGACAAACUAAAGCGAAAGCAUUCGUCAAGCAUGUUUUCAUUGGCCAUGAGCGAAAGUCAGAGGCUCGAAGACGAUCAGAUACCGUCCUAGUUCUGACCAUAAACGAUGCCAACUGACGAUCCGUGGUGGUAGUUCUUUAACCUUCCCCACGGGCAGUCUCCGGGAAACCUUUAAGUCUUUGGGUUCCGGGGGAAGUAUGGUUGCAAAGCUGAAACUUAAAGGAAUUGACGGAAGGGCACCACCAGGAGUGGAGCCUGCGGCUUAAUUUGACUCAACACGGGAAAACUCACCCGGGCCGGACACUAUGAGGAUUGACAGAUUGAAAGCUCUUUCUUGAUUUGGGGGUGGUGGUGCAUGGCCGUUCUUAGUUGGUGGAGCGAUUUGUCUGGUAAUUCCGAUAACGAACGAGACUCCAGCCUGCUAAUUGGUGCGUUUGUCCACUGUACCUGUGCGGGUGGCAUUGGUCCGGAUUGCUGACGGUUGUACCUUCGUUCAGUUUGCCGCCGCCGUCGCCGAUGACAGUUGCUGCGGUGCGCGUAUUAUUGCGUGUGCUUGCUGGCUGGCUGUCAGAUGGUUUGGCUGGUUGGCUUACGGCUGUGGGUGCUGCAAGCCGUCGGUCGGUCAGUCCAGUGUUAGCCUCCGGGUGCGGCGCGAAUGCUUACUUCUUAGAGGGACAAACGGGAGAAGCCGCAUGAAAUAGAGCAAUAACAGGUCUGUGAUGCCCUUAGAUGUCCGGGGCCGCACGCGCGCUACAAUGGCGGUGUCAGCGAGUCAGACCUUCUGACCCGAAAGGGUUGGGUAAACUGGUCAAUCACCGUCAUGACAGGGAUCGGGGCUUGGAAUUGUUCCCCGUGAACGAGGAAUUCCUAGUAAGUGCAAGUCAUAAGCUUGCGCUGAUUACGUCCCUGCCCUUUGUACACACCGCCCGUCGC